rnacentral:rRNA from 1 species
ACUUCAGAGGGGGAGCCUCUCUUGGCCUCUCCUUCUUUCAUCACUACAAACCACUUUAAAGUCUUUUGUAUUUGUUGGUUAACUAUAAUGUUAAAUACAACUUUCAACAACGGAUCUCUUGGCUCUCGCAUCGAUGAAGAACGCAGCGAAAUGCGAUAAGUAAUGUGAAUUGCAGAAUUCAGUGAAUCAUCGAAUCUUUGAACGCACCUUGCGCUCCUUGGUAUUCCGAGGAGCAUGCCUGUUUGAGUGUCGUGUAAUUCUCAAUCUCAACUUCUUUGUUGUGGAUUGGAUUUGGGAGCUUGUCGUGUCUCUUUCUAUAAUGAAAGAGGUUAGACUCUCCUUGAAUGCAUUAGCUCGGUCACGUAGUUUGCCCGACGGUUCACGGUGUGAUAGUCUCACUUCAUCGCCGUUCUAACUGUUGGUGCCUGUGUCUUUGCCGGCUUCUAAUCUCUGGCCUCUUUUUCAAAGUGGCCUUUACACUUUUGAUACUUGACCUCAAAUCAGGUAGGAUUACCCGCUGAACUUAAGCAUAUCAAUAA